GCUGGGUGUGGUGGCGCAUGCUUGUAAUUCCAGCAGCUCAGGAGGCUGAGGUUGGAGGAUUUCAAGUUCAAAGCCAGUCUCAGCAACUCAGGAAGGCUCUAAGCAACUCAAUGAGACCCUAUCUCAA
rnacentral:sRNA from 1 species